AAGCUCAGGCUGCUGUCUAGGCCACUGCUUUGGAAAGAGGCCCACGCUAGGUUCCAGAUUUAGGGAGGACGUGCCGCCUGGCAG